AACGCACCUUGCGCUCCUUGGUAUUCCGAGGAGCAUGCCUGUUUGAGUGUCUUGAAGUCAUCAACCCAAACCGUUUUUCUUGAACGGUCAGGGCUGGAGCUGGGGGACCUUUGCCGCUCGUCUCGGGCGGCUCCCCUCAAAUGCGUCGGUUGGGCCUGUGGGUCAAACUCGGCUGGGCGUUGUACCAUCCUCGCUCUAACGAGACGGACCCCUUCCCGUGCCCCUCCUUGACCUGCCCCUCGUCAGGGUUGGCGGUCAACAAACAUUUGAAAUCUGACCUCAAAUCAGGUAGGACUACCCGCUGAACUUAA
rnacentral:misc_RNA from 1 species